rnacentral:rRNA from 1 species
CCUUGUACACACCGCCCGUCACACCAUGGGAGUCGUUUGCUCCAGAAGUGCCUGCACUAACCCGCAAGGGAAGUAGGGCCCCAAGGAGUGAACGGUAACUGGGGUG